rnacentral:lncRNA from 1 species
AACAGUUAAAAUUAGCCCGGCGCUGCGCAGGCGGCCGGCCCGGCCUCGCGCUGGCGCGCUCUGCUCCGAGUGGCAGGAAGGGGCUCGCAGGCGCCCCGCACGCGUCUCGUCACUAUUGUUUAAUCGAGAAUCAGCAACGCCUCCCGCCGGUUUCCACCCUACGCCGGAAUGGACUUUCAGAACCCACUGCGGCCGCAAGACAGCCCGCAAGAGCUGGUCAAAAUGCCCUCAGAUGAAAAUACGAGUUCUCCGAUCGCGUUGGACCGGAGCGGGCCACGUCCGAGCUGCUUGCAGAGGGAAACCAUCGGAAAUAAUGAAUAGCCGCUCCAUGCAAAUUAUUCAGACAGUUUAGCGUCGGUAGCCGCGAGAAAUAUAUAAAGAACACGAGUCAAAUGACAUUAAUAAUUGUUUCUGAAUUCUGUAUUGAUUUCGCGGCAGGCCGCGUUUCUUUCUUUCUCACCUGAAUCGCUAAUAUCACCUUCCUGUAAAUAAUAAGAAACUAGCCACCGGG